rnacentral:ncRNA from 1 species
UACCUGGUUGAUCCUGCCAGUAGUCAUAUGCUUGUCUCAAAGAUUAAGCCAUGCAAGUCUAAGUACGAGCUCUCGUACAGUGAAACUGCGAAUGGCUCAUUAAAUCAGUUAUGGUUCAUUUGAUCGUACAGUUUACUUGGAUAACUGUGGUAAUUCUAGAGCUAAUACAUGCGAGAAGCGCCGACCUCGCGGGAGGCGUGCAUUUAUCAGACCAAAAACCGGCCGCGUCUUCGGGCGCGUUCGCCUUGGUGACUCUGGAUAACUUUGCGGAUCGCACGGUCUAGCACCGGCGACGGAUCAUUCAAGUGUCUGCCCUAUCAACUUUCGUCGGUACGGUAUUUGCCUACCGAGGUUCUUACGGGUGACGGGGAAUCAGGGUUCGAUUCCGGAGAGGGAGCCUGAGAAACGGCUACCACAUCCAAGGAAGGCAGCAGGCGCGCAAAUUACCCAUUCCCGACGCGGGGAGGUAGUGACGAAAAAUAACAAUGCAGGACUCGUUCGAGGCCCUGUAAUUGGAAUGAGUACACUUUAAAAGCUUUAACGAGUAUCCA